CCUCCUUUCUAAGGAGAAUCCCACUUUAUGUGGGAUAUGGUCGAACUCAUUUCCUUGUGAUCACGCAUACCUAUUUAUUUUUUGGGCUUGUAGCUCAGGUAGUUAGAGCGCAUCUCUGAUAAGGAUGAGGUCCGUGGUUCGAGUCCACGCAGGCCCACUUGAUCUAACGCCCCGAUUAAUUAUGGGGCUGUAGCUCAGUUGGGAGAGCGCCUGAUUUGCAUUCAGGAGGUCGCAGGUUCGAUCCCUGUCAGCUCCACCAGAAAGAUUUUGUUUUUUGAAAAUUGGGAAUUGAUGUCGAUUCACAAAUGUGAAUCGUCUUCUGCAAACUGCGGAAGGCGGUAACUUCAUUUUGUGACACUGAAAUAAUAAAAAAGUGAAAAUAUUUUUUAUCGUUAGAUAAAAAAUAUUGAUCAUUCAACUGAUCAGGAGCCUUUGGUAAAGCUACUAAGAGCGUAUGGAAGGAUGCCUAGGCACAUGGAGGCGAUAAAGGACGUGGUAAGCUGCGAUAAGCUUCGGGUAGGUGCAAACAACCUU
rnacentral:misc_RNA from 1 species